AGAGUUUGAUCAUGGCUCAGAACGAACGCUGGCGGCAGGCUUAAUACAUGCAAGUCGAACGCUCACUUCGGUGAGAGUGGCAGACGGGUGAGUAACACGUGGGAACCUACCUAGGGGUACGGAAUAACUCAGGGAAACUUGUGCUAAUACCGUAUACGACCUCAGGGUGAAAGAUUUAUCGCCCCUAGAUGGGCCCGCGUUGGAUUAGCUAGUUGGUGGGGUAAAGGCCCACCAAGGCGACGAUCCAUAGCUGGUCUGAGAGGAUGAUCAGCCACACUGGGACUGAGACACGGCCCAGACUCCUACGGGAGGCAGCAGUAGGGAAUCUUGGACAAUGGGCGAAAGCCUGAUCCAGCCAUGCCGCGUGAGUGAUGAAGGCCUUAGGGUUGUAAAGCUCUUUCGCCAGGGAAGAUAAUGACGGUACCUGGAUAAGAAGCCCCGGCUAACUUCGUGCCAGCAGCCGCGGUAAUACGAAGGGGGCUAGCGUUGUUCGGAAUUACUGGGCGUAAAGCGCACGUAGGCGGCAUUCCAAGUUGGAGGUGAAAUCCCCGGGCUUAACCUGGGAACUGCCUCCAAAACUGGAAAGCUCGGGUCCGAAGAGGUGAGUGAAAUUUCCAGUGUAAAGGUGAAUUCGUAAAAUUGGAAAAACACCAG
rnacentral:rRNA from 1 species